rnacentral:miRNA from 1 species
AUUGAAUAUGUUGGUUACUAU